rnacentral:rRNA from 1 species
UUAAAAGUCCACAACAAGUUGGAUACACCGUUUCUCGUCCGAUCACUGAAGUUAAGCAACGUUAGGCGCGGUCAGUACUUGGAUGGGUGACCGCCUGGGAACUCCGCGUGACGUUGGCU